UUCCAUCUCAUCAUCUACACUUUGUUUACCCAUGUAAACAGCCACAUGUUAGUCCUAAAAAUUUCACAACAUAAUUAUGGGUGCACUGAGUUUGAUAUAUGCAAGAAAUAUAAUCAGAUAGAGAAAUAUAUAUUUUCGCAAAUAUAGCAAGCAGAACAGUUUUGUUCUGGAAUGCACAUUAAGGACGAGUGCCCGAUACCUAUCCAGGUGAACCAUCGUUGAUGUGGCCAAGCAUGAGUAUUCUCAUAAGAAAAUGUGGUCAUGGCCACACCAAUAGGAUGAUACCACUCCCUUCCGAUUACAUGCUGGUGGCCAAAUGUUUCCAUAUUAUUUCCACCAUCGUACUCAUGCAAGUUUGACACAUCCUUGUUGAUGAGAAAAUGACAUAUAUUUGUGAGGGUUACAUUGGUGGAAAGUUUUACUAUGGGGUAUGUGGUGGAUAGGCCUAAUUACUUAUGUUAUCAUUAUUAGCACUAGGUAGUGCGCAAAGUAUGGACAUGCCAUUUU
rnacentral:lncRNA from 1 species